rnacentral:rRNA from 1 species
UGGGGAAUAUUGCACAAUGGGCGCAAGCCUGAUGCAGCCAUGCCGCGUGUGUGAAGAAGGCCUUCGGGUUGUAAAGCACUUUCAGCGAGGAGGAAGGUGGUGAGCUUAAUACGCUCAUCAAUUGACGUUACUCGCAGAAGAAGCACCGGCUAACUCCGUGCCAGCAGCCGCGGUAAUACGGAGGGUGCAAGCGUUAAUCGGAAUUACUGGGCGUAAAAGCGCACGCAGGCGGUUUGUUAAGUCAAGAUGUGAAAUCCCCGGGCUCAACCUGGGAACUGCAUUUGAAACUGGCAAGCUAGAGUCUCGUAGAGGGGGGUAGAAUUCCAGGUGUAGCGGUGAAAUGCGUAGAGAUCUGGAGG